UGCGGACAGUGUCUGGUGGGUAGUUUGACUGGGGCGGUCUCCUCCUAAAGAGUAACGGAGGAGCACGAAGGUUGGCUAAUCCUGGUCGGACAUCAGGAGGUUAGUGCAAUGGCAUAAGCCAGCUUGACUGCGAGCGUGACGGCGCGAGCAGGUGCGAAAGCAGGUCAUAGUGAUCCGGUGGUUCUGAAUGGAAGGGCCAUCGCUCAACGGAUAAAAGGUACUCCGGGGAUAACAGGCUGAUACCGCCCAAGAGUUCAUAUCGACGGCGGUGUUUGGCACCUCGAUGUCGGCUCAUCACAUCCUGGGGCUGAAGUAGGUCCCAAGGGUAUGGCUGUUCGCCAUUUAAAGUGGUACGCGAGCUGGGUUUAGAACGUCGUGAGACAGUUCGGUCCCUAUCUGCCGUGGGCGCUGGAGAACUGAGGGGGGCUGCUCCUAGUACGAGAGGACCGGAGUGGACGCAUCACUGGUGUUCGGGUUGUCAUGCCAAUGGCACU
rnacentral:rRNA from 2 species